GGAGAGAUGGGUGAGUGGCUGAAACCAACGGUUUGCUAAACCGUCGUACGCUGUAAAAGUGUAUCCCGAGUUCGAAUCUCGGUCUCUCCGCAA
rnacentral:tRNA from 1 species